AUUGAACGCUGGCGGCAGGCCUAACACAUGCAAGUCGAGCGGAUGAAGGGAGCUUGCUCCUGGAUUCAGCGGCGGACGGGUGAGUAAUGCCUAGGAAUCUGCCUGGUAGUGGGGGAUAACGUCCGGAAACGGGCGCUAAUACCGCAUACGUCCUGAGGGAGAAAGUGGGGGAUCUUCGGACCUCACGCUAUCAGAUGAGCCUAGGUCGGAUUAGCUAGUUGGUGGGGUAAAGGCCUACCAAGGCGACGAUCCGUAGCUGGUCUGAGAGGAUGAUCAGUCACACUGGAACUGAGACACGGUCCAGACUCCUACGGGAGGCAGCAGUGGGGAAUAUUGGACAAUGGGCGAAAGCCUGAUCCAGCCAUGCCGCGUGUGUGAAGAAGGUCUUCGGAUUGUAAAGCACUUUAAGUUGGGAGGAAGGGCAGUAAGUUAAGACCUGGCUGUUUUGACGUUACCAACAGAAUAAGCACCGGCUAAUUUCGU
rnacentral:rRNA from 1 species